rnacentral:lncRNA from 1 species
CAAAAUUUUAAGAAAUAUAAUUGCUAAAAUUGAUUAUUUUAGCUUAAAUAUAUAGCUAGUAUACUUUUAGAUAAAAUAUAAUUAAAUAAUUGAAAUCCAAGGAUAGAUAUACUUGAAGCACAUGACAAAAAAGGUAAAGACUAUGAUAAACUAUAAACAUAUAAAAACAUUAGAACACCUAAAAUCAGCAAUGAUAUGGAAUCACUUCUCUCAAUUUGAUAAAAAAGUACUUGAAUUUCUUUCUAUUCAUUGGAGAAUUAUUAUUUAAAUUCCAAUUCACGUCGAAUCUUUCCACAACCAAUUAACAAAGACGAAGGCACUCCCUCAAUUCCUUCGGGUUAUUUUGAUACCGACUCCAACAUAAUUCGGCACACUCUUGCACACUAGAUUCAGCAUAAUAAUCACUCCAACCUCUCUUAGGAAUAGUGUUAAGAAAUUUAGCAUUUACACAACAAAUAAUUAUUC